rnacentral:rRNA from 1 species
GCAAGUCGAACGAGAAAGAUUCCUUCGGGGAUUGAGUAGAGUGGCCAACGGGUGAGUAACGCGUGGGACACCUGCCUUUUAGUUGGGGACAACACUUCUAACGAGGUGCUAAUGCCGAAUAAUCUCUUACCACCGCAUGGUGGUUUGAUGAAAGACGGCCUCUGUUUCAAGCUGUCGCUGAAAGAUGGUCCCGCGUCCCAUUAGCUUGUUGGUGAGGUAACGGCUCACCAAGGCGACGAUGGGUAGCCGGCCUUAGCGGGUGAUC